GCGGGUUUAGCUCAGUUGGGAGAGCGUCAGACUGAAGUCACACUUCAAUUAAAUUCCAUAUCUGAAGGUCGUGUGUUCGAUCCACACAAACCGCA
rnacentral:tRNA from 1 species